CGUGAUAUAUUACCUAAAGAAAAGUUCAUCAUCAUCGUAUAUAUGUCUCCACGCUGCUUCAUUUCGAUUUGUUUUUACCGGAUUCAAACUGAAAACUAGGAAUAAUGAAUUAAGGAAUCUACUCAUCUGCAUUCGAGUUUCCUUCUCAACGCGAGUGUGACAAGUAUUAUUUAUGAUAACUUUGUCAAUACAAAGAUUUAUAUAAUGUAUUUAAAUAUAUUUAUAGAGGUAACUGUAUGUUCGUCGAACAAUACAAAAUAGAAAACUGCUCCGGUUAACGUGGUUAGGGGUACUAAGAUUUUACAUGGUUGUAUGCGUGGAUGCUAUAAAAUACUCCCUCCAUACUAAAAAUACACUGCAUGUGUAGAUGCUAGAAAAUACUCCCUCCAUACUAGAAAUACAUGACGUUUAAGACAUGAUUGUGCUUACCAAUGAGUCAUUAAUUAGGGAGUAAUCUUUUAGUUUUACUCCUAUUAAAUAUUGCAGCCGAUGUAUACUACACAUAAAAGCUUAAUAGAUGAACUGGUUAGCAAGGAGGACUGAAGACCUUCAAGCCUAGAGGUCUGGUGUUGGAGUCUUGUGCCCACUUAUUUUUUUUUUUUAUUUUAGGCAGGGGAGGCGCUUAGUCAAUGCGGGAUCACUCAACUCGAGAUUUUGCAUCUGCUAAUCAUGCGGAAUAGUAUACGGUGUGGCUAGUUCACGGCUUCACACAACAAAUAUCUCAUGUUUUUAUAUAUCUAGAACUAGAACUAGAAAGGCAAACAAGAAAUAGAUUUAAAUGAAGCAAAACACAUGAGGAAGAUUGAUAAACAUGUCAGCAAAUAAAAAAUAGAUUUAAGUGAAACAAAACACAUGAGGAAGAUUGAUAAACAUGUCAGUGAUUUCAAUUUUGGUUUUUGAAUUUUUUGGCCACCCUUCAAAUCACUAAAAUUUGUAAAAUUUCAGCAUUUUAGAGACUCAAGAAAUAUGGUUUUUCUAAAAAAUUAGAUCUAAACAAAAUGAGUUUUUUAAGAAGAAUAUGCAACAUAAACAAUAC
rnacentral:lncRNA from 1 species